CCUACGGGUGGCAGCAGUGGGGAAUAUUGCACAAUGGGGGAAACUCUGAUGCAGCGACGCCGCGUGAAGGAAGACGUUCUUCGGUAUGUAAACUUCUGUCAUCGGGGAAGAAAAUGACGGUACCUGACUAAGAAGCCCCGGCUAACUACGUGCCAGCAGCCGCGGUAAUAUGUAGGGGGCGAGCGUUAUCCGGAUUUACUGGGUGUAAAGGGAGCGUAGGCGGGCCAGCAAGUUGAAGGUAAAAUCCGCCGGCUUAACUGGGGGCUGCGUUUAAAACUGCUUGACUUGAGUGAAGGAGAGGUAGGUGGAAUUCCUAGUGUAGCGGUGAAAUGCGUAGAUAUUAGGAGGAACACCAGUGGCGAAGGCGGCUUGCUGGGCUGUAAAUGACGCUGAGGCUCGAAAGCGUGGGGAGCAAACAGGAUUAGAUACCCGGGUAGUC
rnacentral:rRNA from 1 species